ensembl:lncRNA
CACUUUAAACCCUCCCUCAGAUAAGACCCAGUCUCAAAUCAGAGCAGUGCAUUCAACAUCUACUUUAUUGUCGUCAUCACCUGUGUUCUUUGAGAGUUGCUUCUGAAUUGUGAAUUUCUUCAUUGCCAUGGAGAGGAGUGAUGAUACAUUUUUAGUAUUUAAGAUCUUCAUACCUAUCGUAACCUUUGGGUUUUUGUCGAUCUGCUGUGCUGGCUGCUGUAAAGUAUUCCAGCGAGUUCGUAAGGAGCGCGUGGAGCAUGUGCAGACUCAAGUUCGAGCCGUGGAUCAACCGUCUGUCUACGUCAUUCCCAUCUCUCUGUCUGAAGAUGAGCUGCACAGACCACCGCGCUACAGCACUGUACAGUUCUGCGAGCUGCCCCCUGCUUAUCACGAGUUGAAUCUGAAGCCCGAGGCCUUUCCUGUGGAACCCCCUCCUGCAUAUUCAGAAUCUGUCUCUCCUUCACCCUCACAUUCAUGAUCAUAAGCGCAUCUCAAGCACUUGGACUGGUUAAAGGAAAAAUAAGAAGCAACGUCAUAUUCUCAUGACUUUUCCAAGGACUACUACUCAUGCUACCUAUACAAAGGUUUAAAUGGUGAGAAAGAUAAUGUCACAGUUAUAAUGUCACUGUGACUCUGAUGGGAUUUUGAACAUGUCCUGCAGGGUCACAAAGACAGUUUUGCACAAUGAGCAGCAGAACUUGGUUAAAGGUUUAAAAGUAUAUAUGUUUUGUUUUGUGAAUAUUUAUCAAUUUUGUACAUGCUAUAGCUAAACUUUUUUUGUUAACUUUGUGAAAUGUGUUCAUUUAUAAGAAAUGUUGUAAAUGGUUGACCUGUUGUAAAUUGUACAGCUGAAACUGUAUGAUUAAAAU